rnacentral:precursor_RNA from 1 species
CUAUCGAGCCUCUCCAACGAUGACUGAUGGUAAUAUGGUCUAUUUGAGUCCAUCGUUGUCUUGGUGAAGGAAGUCGCCACGUUAGGCGAUGU